rnacentral:rRNA from 1 species
GUCGCACGAGAAAGUGGAGCAAUCCAUGAGUAAAGUGGCGUACGGGUGAGUAACACGUGGAUCAUCUACCUUCUAGUGGGGAAUACCCCUGGGAAACUGGGGACAAUACCGCAUAAGCUCGUAAGAGGAAAGCAGCAAUGCGCUGGAAGAGGAGUCCGCGGCUGAUUAGCUAGUUGGCGGGGUAACGGCCCACCAAGGCGAAGAUCGGUAGCCGGCCUGAGAGGGCACACGGCCACACUGGCACUGAAACACGGGCCAGACUCCUACGGGAGGCAGCAGUGGGGAAUCUUGCACAAUGGAGGAAACUCUGAUGCAGCGACGCCGCGUGAGCGAUGAAGCCCUUCGGGGUGUAAAGCUCUUUCGACGGGAACGAUAAUGACGGUACCCGAAGAAGAAGCUGCGGCUAACUACGUGCCAGCAGCCGCGGUAAUACGUAGGCAGCAAGCGUUGUUCGGAGUUACUGGGCGUAAAGGGUGUGUAGGCGGUUGUUUAAGUUUGGUGUGAAAUCUCCCGGCUCAACUGGGAGGGUGCGCCGAAUACUGAAUGACUAGAGUGCGGGAGAGGAAAGUGGAAUUCCUGGUGUAGCGGUGAAAUGCGUAGAUAUCAGGAGGAACAC